GCGCCAAUAGCUCAGUUGGGAGAGCGUCAGACUGAAGUUUCGACUCAGUUUAUCAAACCCGGGGUAAUCUGAAGGUCACCCGUUCAAUCCGGGUUUGGCGCA
rnacentral:tRNA from 1 species